UACAGAGGGUGCGAGCGUUAAUCGGAAUUACUGGGCGUAAAGCGCGCGUAGGCGGCUUUUCAAGUCGAUUGUGAAAUCCCCCGGGCUUAACCUGGGAACUGCAGUCGAGACUGUCUAGCUAGAGUAUGGGAGAGGGAAGUGGAAUUUCAGGUGUAGCGGUGAAAUGCGUAGAUAUCUGAAGGAACAUCAGUGGCGAAAGCGACUUCCUGGACCAAUACUGACGCUCAUGUGCGAAAGCGUGGGGAGCAAACAGG
rnacentral:rRNA from 1 species